GGAUCUUCUUCCCCACCCCACUCCCUCAAUUUAAACCAACAAUUAUAUAGCUCAAUGUUAUUCAACAAUUUUUCCUGAUUUUUGCAAUUAUUUCAUUCAAAGAAUUUCUUUAUAUACUUUAUUUUAUCCAUUGGAAGAAAUGAGUUCUAACAAUUCCGCAGUUGGGUACUAGGAAAAUAACUAAGAAGAAGAUGUGAGUUGUUCACCGGCCACUUCGAUUCAAUCUUCAUCUGCCGCUUCAUCCAACUUGGAGGUUAUGUUCAUCAAAUUCACAACCCAAUCUCCCUCACGGUGGUUGGUCCCCAAUACCCCAAUCCUUAAGCAUUGGAUCUGAUUAGGGAGUAGUUCGAUUGUGAGCUUGAAGCUUCUAGCAAAUUGGAACGACAAGUACAACAUUCCCAACUUGGUGGAGGCUUUUUUUCCAAGAGCAUAUGCUAGGGCCUGCGACCCUCCUGAAAGGUGUCUAACCC
rnacentral:lncRNA from 1 species